CGCAGCAGGCGCGAAACCUUUACACUGCACGCCAGUGCGAUAAGGGGACCCCGAGUGCGAGUGCAUACAGUCCUCUCUUUUCGUGACCGUAAGGUGGUCACAGAAUAAGUGCUGGGCAAGACCGGUGCCAGCCGCCGCGGUAAUACCGGCAGCACGAGUGAUAGCCACUAUUAUUGGGCCUAAAGCGUCCGUAGCUGGCCAGACAGGUCCGUCGGGAAAUCCACCCGCUCAACGGGUGGGCGUCCGGCGGAAACCAGCUGGCUUGGGGCCGGAAGACCAGAGGGGUACCUCCGGGGUAGGAGUGAAAUCCCGUAAUCCGGGACGGACCACCGGUUGCGAAAGCGCCUUUGGAGGACGGGCCCGACAGUGAGGGACGAAAGCUAGGGUCUCGAACCGGAUUAGAUACCCGGGUAGUCCUAGCUGUAAACGAUGCUCGCGAGGGAAAGUACUGGCUACGAGCCUGCGUUGUGCCGUAGGGAAGCCGAGAAGCGAGCCGCCUGGGAAGUACGUCCGCAAGGAUGAAACUUAAAGGAAUUGGCGGGGGAG
rnacentral:rRNA from 1 species